AGCGAACGCUGGCGGCAGGCCUAACACAUGCAAGUCGAACGAACUCUUCGGAGUUAGUGGCGGACGGGUGAGUAACACGUGGGAACGUGCCUUUAGGUUCGGAAUAACUCUGGGAAACUUGAGCUAAUACCGGAUGUGCUCUUCGGGGGAAAGAUUGAUCGCCCUUAGAGCGGCCCGCGACCGAUUAGCUUGUUGGUGAGGUAAAGGCCCACCACGGCGACGCUCAGUAGCUGGGCUGAGAGGAUGGUCAGCCACAUUGGGACUGGGACACGGCCCAAACUCCUGCGGGAGGCAGCAGUGGGGAAUCUUGCGCAAUGGGCGAAAUCCUGACGCAGCCAUGCCGCGUGAAUGAUGAAGGUCUUAAGAUUGUAAAAUUCUUUAACCGGGGACGAUAAUGACGGUACCCGGAGAAGAAGCCCCGGCUAACUUCGUG
rnacentral:rRNA from 1 species